rnacentral:tRNA from 1 species
GACCUCGUGGUGAAAUUCAUGUUGAGUUGCAAGCUCAAUGAUGCACGUUAAGAUGUGCCGGGGUCU